rnacentral:rRNA from 1 species
GCAUCGAUGAAGAACGUAGCGAAAUGCGAUACCUGGUGUGAAUUGCAGAAUCCCGCGAACCAUCGAGUCUUUGAACGCAAGUUGCGCCCGAGGCCACUCGGCCGAGGGCACGCCUGCCUGGGCGUCA